GACGAACGCUGGCGGCGUGCCUAAUACAUGCAAGUAGAACGCUGAAGGAGGAGCUUGCUUCUCUGGAUGAGUUGCGAACGGGUGAGUAACGCGUAGGUAACCUGCCUGGUAGCGGGGGAUAACUAUUGGAAACGAUAGCUAAUACCGCAUAAUAUUGACUAUUGCAUGGUAGUCAGUUGAAAGGUGCAACUGCACCACUACCAGAUGGACCUGCGUUGUAUUAGCUAGUUGGUGGGGUAACGGCUCACCAAGGCGACGAUACAUAGCCGACCUGAGAGGGUGAUCGGCCACACUGGGACUGAGACACGGCCCAGACUCCUACGGGAGGCAGCAGUAGGGAAUCUUCGGCAAUGGACGGAAGUCUGACCGAGCAACGCCGCGUGAGUGAAGAAGGUUUUCGGAUCGUAAAGCUCUGUUGUAAGAGAAGAACGAGUGUGAGAGUGGAAAGCUCACACUGUGACGGUAUCUUACCAGAAAGGGACGGCUAACUACGUG
rnacentral:rRNA from 1 species